AGAUUGAACGCUGGCGGCAGGCCUAACACAUGCAAGUCGAGCGGUAGAGAGGUGCUUGCAUCUCUUGAGAGCGGCGGACGGGUGAGUAAUGCCUAGGAAUCUGCCUAGUGGUGGGGGAUAACGUUCGGAAACGGACGCUAAUACCGCAUACGUCCUACGGGAGAAAGCGGGGGACCUUCGGGCCUCGCGCCAUUAGAUGAGCCUAGGUCGGAUUAGCUAGUUGGUGAGGUAAUGGCUCACCAAGGCGACGAUCCGUAACUGGUCUGAGAGGAUGAUCAGUCACACUGGAACUGAGACACGGUCCAGACUCCUACGGGAGGCAGCAGUGGGAAUAGUUGGACAAGUGGGCGAAAGCCUGAUCCAGCCAUCGCCGCGUGUGUGAAGAAGUCUGGAUUGAAAGCUACGUUUAGUGGAGGAAGGUUGUAACCUAGUACGUUGACUAACGUUUGAACGUUACCGAUAACGAAGUGA
rnacentral:rRNA from 1 species